rnacentral:rRNA from 1 species
GCAAGUCGAGCGGUAACAGAGAGUAGCUUGCUACUUUGCUGACGAGCGGCGGACGGGUGAGUAAUGCUUGGGAAUAUGCCUUUAGGUGGGGGACAACAGUUGGAAACGACUGCUAAUACCGCAUAAUGUCUACGGACCAAAGGGGGGGAUGCUUCGGCACCUCUCGCCUAUAGAUUAGCCCAAGUGAGAUUAGCUAGUUGGUGAGGUAAUGGCUCACCAAGGCGACGAUCUCUAGCUGGUUUGAGAGGAUGAUC